UGAGCCCGGAUGAUCGCUGGCACAGUGCUCUCCCGGGCAUCGCCCAUCCGUGUCUACAUACUCUUGUUGCUUUGGCAGGCCGUGGCCUCCACUGCGGGCUCUGCUCGUGCGUGCCUGCCAGAGGACCAAACUCUGAAUAUUAGUGAUGUCUGAGUACUAUAUAAUAGUUAAAACUUUCAACAACGGAUCUCUUGGUUCUGGCAUCGAUGAAAAACGCAGCGAAAUGCGAUAAGUAAUGUGAAUUGCAGAAUUCAGUGAAUCAUCGAAUCUUUGAACGCACAUUGCGCCCYGUGGUAUUCCGCAGGGCAUGCCUGUUCGAGCGUCAUUAUAGCCAAUCACGCCUGGCGUGGUGUUGGGGCACGCGGUCCCGCGGCCUUUAAAACAAGUGGCGGCGCUGGUCGGCUCUAAGCGUAGUAAAUCUCCUCGCUAUAGGGACCGGUCGGUGGCUCGCCAGAACCCCUCACUUCUUAAGGUGACCUCGGAUCAGGUAGGGWCC
rnacentral:rRNA from 1 species